GCUUUGCUAAUAUAUCCAACGGCUUGCUACUUCCUUUUAGUAAGCUAUCUGACAACAAAAAGAAAAUUAAAGAGAGACCAAAUAAAUACUCCUACUAAUCCAUAAGGACUUAAAGUAUACUUCUACAUUAAUUAAUCAAAUAAAUCGACCAAGUUACUUGAAUUACCAUCAAUGGAGUUUUUAAAUACUCAAAUAUCAGGGGUUAAAUUGGAUAAAAACUACUUCAUUGUAAUCUGCUCUAUUGAAGGCAAUAAUCUAGCCAUACUCUUGUAACCAUAAAAGCUGCUAGUGGCAUAUGGAGCCUAUCUGAUAUUUAAAAAUAGAUGUGAUUUUCUGGAGAAGACGACUUUCCAGUAAAUCAUCCAACAUUUUGCAAUUGUCUUUCCAAUCCUUUCUUCAUCAAGGAUAUCAAUUACCGCUGAAAGAGUAGUACUUGUUUGCAAGAAAUACUCUGCAAUUUGUAAAAGCAAAAAAACGUGAUUAAAUGACAAAUGAUAUAUGACUGCAUUUUACAAUCCAAUUUAAAACAUAAGAUUUACAUCACCUUCGUCUAUUUGGUUAAUAGAAUUCAACAUUCACUGCUACAACUGCAAUAUCUUAAACAUGGUAAUCAUAGUCCUAUUUCUGAUUAUAUUAUUUCAUAUAAUUGAGUAAAAAAAAAGAGACUACUAAAAUGUAAAAUGUGAUAUAGCUUGGAGGGAGAAGUCUGGGUAAAGAAAGUUAUAACAUAAACUUGAACAAAUAGUCGAAGAGAUCAUGUCUAAACUUGAAAAGUAAAAGAGUAGGAAUCCUACUAUGGCAUACCUAAUGUUAAAAAUAAAGACCACCACCCUGAGAUAGGUGCAAUACGGAGUGAAAGAUAAAAGUUUAAGGAGAAAAGAAUACAGACGGCAAUAUCUGCAACCAAGAUUUACAGCAAAUUGACCUGAAAAAUCAAGCUAAAAAUGAAAGAAGUUGUUACAAAAGAAAAUGAACUAUAGUUUCAGUGAGAGUUUAAAGCAAAUUGAUUCACCAACUCCAACCUAUGGCAAUUCUUUUAUCAAGAUGCUUUAUGGAAAAUCCAGUUAUUGGUAAAUUUUCUACGGAAAAAGUGCAAGCAGAAUACCAAGAGUAGCCUCGGAUUCACACAGUUGACUUUGUGGGUUUAUCAAAGAACUUUUACGUGAGACUUAUCCUCUAAUUGUGGACGAAUGGAAGGGAAAGUAGAAAGAGGGAAAAUAGAAAAUGAUUUUUACGUUCGAACCUUGCUGAAGGCAAAAACUUGGUAUUUAAAUGAAGGGUACACAACAACUUCGCUUAAAAAGGUUAAUUAGGAGAAGUAUGUCUAAUAGCUGCUAUAAAUAUUUUUGUGCUAUUUCUACAAAUCAACACAAUCAACCCCUUUUGUAUUGUUUUACUUACUAAUAAUAAUGGUGCAAGCCAAAACAACAAACACAAAGGACACCUAAAAGUCACAUAAGUUCAGAAUUAAAAAGUAGUAUUUUUAGUACCUGUCCAAAUCAAGGACUGGACUAUACACAAGUGUUUCAAAGUAGCUACAAUAAAAUGCCAGGCUUGAUUAUAGUAAAGUGAUUCUGCAAACCAAAACAUCCUUGUAUAAUUAUUGUAUCUUUAUUUAACUGAUUAAGAGAGUACAUGCAUUUCAUAGUAUUCCGGAGAUAUAUAAUUUGCUAAAAUUUCUUUUCUUUUAGUCCUUCUCAUGUGUCAGCUUUAUUCCAAACAAAUGUUUACAUUCUGAAUUAUGCCAUGAAACUAAUAUGAAAAUUUAACACAUAACAGUUUGAUUUUUAUAUUCAAAUAAUUCCAUUAUAUAUUUACUAAUAAUACUUAUUCUAACUACUAUGUCAUACCUAUAAGCAACCAAUGAAAAGAACAUCUGGUGCUACAGGUCAGCUAACCAGAGCUCGGUUGUAGCACAACCAUCGGAUGUUAGUAAUCGAUUUGGAACUUUACCAAGGGAAAUUAAAAUCCUAAAAAUUUACUAAAAGAUGUGUAACUAAUAAAAUAAAAAUUAUCAAUGUUCCUUUAUUAGAGUUUUCAUUUGUCAUGUGAUAUCAUUCUGAUAAUUAGCUAAAAUAAAUGAGGCUAUUCCCUAGUUCAAUAGAUUACAAAGGCAACCCCACACUGAUGGAAAAAACAUACUGUUAAACAUGAUAAUAACAUAACUAAAAAGGGUAAAAAAAUUAUAAAGUAGUAAAAAUUUGUGGUAAAGCCUUAAUAUACUACCUCCAUUAUCAACAUUUGAACUUAAUUCCCCUUCAUAUGUGCUCAGUUCAAAAUUAGUAAUUGCCUCCCUUCUGUUGCACUUUAUACAAGUCUUAUCGUACGUCUUGGGCCAAAAAUCGUCAUGUCAAUAUUGAAAGAGUAAACGACAUAACAGAAAAGGGAGGGGGAGACUCAAGUUAUGAUCAUUAGACAUUACAGCUUCCAUCUCGUUGUCAAUCAGUCCUAUAAAAUCUGUAUAAUAAUAUGAUAACAUAUAAAGUAAGUUUUUAACAGUUAUUCCGCUGGUAUUAUGAGAUUCCUAAGCUAUGGUAAUAUAAGUUGUUAGUUACUUCUUACAGAGAAAGUGCAAAAACUGAGCUUUCCAUCAUCCACAUUUGUGCAUCGUGGCUCCCCUGUAUUUUGCUCUUCCUCUAGAGGACCUAAUGCUUAGACGUCGAAGUAUUUGCACAAACUCUCAUUUUCUGACAUUAGACCUAUACUUACCAAGUCAGAAGACCAGUGAGCCACAAUCAGUUACAUAAUUUAAACAAAUAUUAACACUUAGGUGGUUCAAUAAUUAUCUAUCAACACGCACUUUAGAUCUACAUGGUAAUCACAGACAUUUAAAUUGUUAUUUGCAUCCAGACUUGAUCCGACAAAGUCUUUCCAUAGAGUUGCAGCAAUGUUAUUGCUUCUACAAUUAUUAUAAAGUUAAGCAUAAGAAUCAAAAUAAAGAAUUGUUGAAAUAUUUACUUAAUUUAAUAAAUUGUGGCGAGCUUACUUAUAAUCUUGUAUCUAAAUGCUCAUGAUAAUACGGCUGCUAUCAUUUUGUUUGAUAGACUUUACGUCCUCAUAGGUUAUAAUUUCGCCAAUAACAUCUACAAUAAAAUUGACCAAGGAAAUAUAUGCAAAAUUGGUAAUCAUUAUAGACAAUAUAAAUAAAGAUUGUGAAAGAAUUAAUAAAUUUCAUGAUCUACUUAAGAUAUAGCAAUUAGUAUACAAAACAUAAAAGACAGAAAAGAGAUUACAGAAUGUUAACUGAAAUUGAAAAUUAUAUUCUUAAAAGACAGAAAUCAGAUUGUGAUUUUCGAUAGAGGACACCUCAAUUUUACAAUUACUUUAAUUAGUUACAACAAAAGUAUGUAGUUACCUUUUAGGUAUCUAUAACAAUAACAACAGCAACAAUCCAGUAUAAUCUACCUUGGGGUAGAGAGGCUGUUUCCAAAUAGACCUCUGACAUCAUUCCCUCUAAGAACUUCUCACCUUGCUCUUGGGGAGACUCGAACUCACAACCUCUUGGUUGGAAGUAGAGGUUGCUUACCAUCAGAGCAACCCCUCUUAUCCAGGUAUCUAUAACAACUAAAGUAAAAUAUUUGGCAGGAAUUUGACUAUGGGCGUGUUGCCCAUCCGUGAGAUAAAUUAUGCCCUUUGGUAGAAUGCAAAUUGGAUUUUCGCUCAAAUCUAAGUUUUGCAAUAAGAAAAAGCUACUGAAAGCAACUGGAAAAGCAUCAUCGAAUAGAUUACAGUUAGCAAGACUCAGAGUAACCAAGGAAUUAGUAAACUAAUAUGUGAUAUUUAAGGACAUAUUUUCCUCUUCAGCAUGCAGGAUUGCAGAAAUCCAUACCAUGGUUGGACCUAAAUAGAACGUAAUCAUAAAGUUUAAAACAAUACCUUUUAAUCCAUCAGAAUAAUCUCAAUUGGAAAAAGGGUUAUCAGGUCUUUGCGAUCCGAAUUUUCCCAAAGCCUGACAAUUCGAACCUUUAAUUUCCAACUCAUUGACUUGCUGUUAAUUUCACUAACCAAAUAUAUUUCAACCGCCAUUAAGUCCUGAAAUAGAUAAAGGUAUUUAUAAAUAUAAGUAGAAACUCCAACAAAAUGCUUAUAGAAAUACAUAUGAAGCAAUAGAUCAUCGGAAAUAAUUGACUUGUUGCUGAUAAUUCUCCCAAAAAUGCAUGUGAAAUGCAACGACGGCACAUGAGCAAGAAUCUAUGGUAAACCCCAAGAUUGGUAAACAAUAGUUGUCAUAGAUACCGGGUUUUUUAUAUAACAAACGCCAUCAACAAACUUCACAGACAUUAUCAAUACAAUCUCAAUUGGAGUAAAAUUGUUCAUGAAACAUAAAUCAUACCAAUCACCUCUUGUAGUCUAUAGUUGUUGUUUCAUACGCACACAAGGGAGAAAAAAUAGAACUAUCUAUCUAUAAUUAAAAGCAGAAGACAAAAGCACCUCAUGAAACCAAAUGACAGAACAAUAGAAUGACACAUGGCAUGUUAAGACAUUGCUCCUAAAUAUUAGGAAGUAGAAUUCAAACCAUUCAUGAGAAAACCGUAAACACUUCU
rnacentral:lncRNA from 1 species